rnacentral:rRNA from 1 species
AACGAACGCUGGCGGCAUGCCUAACACAUGCGAGUCGAACGAGACCUUCGGGUCUAGUGGCGCACGGGUGCGUAACGCGUGGGAACCUGCCCUUAGGUUCGGAAUAACUCCCCGAAAGGGGUGCUAAUACCGGAUAAUGUCUUCGGACCAAAGAUUUAUCGCCUUUGGAUGGGCCCGCGUUGGAUUAGCUAGUUGGUAGGGUAAAAGCCUACCAAGGCGACGAUCCAUAGCUGGUCUGAGAGGAUGAUCAGCCACACUGGGACUGAGACACGGCCCAGACUCCUACGGGAGGCAGCAGUGGGGAAUAUUGGACAAUGGGCGAAAGCCUGAUCCAGCAAUGCCGCGUGAGUGAUGAAGGCCUUAGGGUUGUAAAGCUCCUUUACCCGGGAUGAUAAUGACAGUACCGGGAGAAUAAGCUCCGGCUAACUCCGUG